UGUUAGAGAUAAGUUUAGAGUGUUUGGCUCUGCGAUGGACUGGUGACCUGUCCAGGGUGUACCUUGCCUCUCACCUGCCAAAUGCUGGAUUAGGGUUCAGC